UACGUAGGGUGCAAGCGUUGUCCGGAAUUAUUGGGCGUAAAGGGCUCGUAGGCGGUUUGUCGCGUCGGGUGUGAAAUCCACUGGCUUAACUGGUGGCUUGCUUUCGAUACGGGCAGACUGGAGGUAUGCAGGGGAGAGCGGAAUUCCUGGUGUAGCGGUGAAAUGCGCAGAUAUCAGGAGGAACACCGGUGGCGAAGGCGGUUCUCUGGGCAUGUCCUGACGCUGAGGAGCGAAAGUGUGGGGAGCGAACAGG
rnacentral:rRNA from 1 species